rnacentral:lncRNA from 10 species
AUUGGUGGCAUGGCUAUGCCAGUCCCACCAAAAGCAGGCUUCAGGAAGACUUUGCGUUUGGACAUCGCCAGGUGUUUAUUUGAUUUUUCCUAUUUCUUGGUUUUUAAUUGGUUUCAGAUGUGAGUACCCAAUAGCGGCCCUGAAUAAAUAAAACAGAUCAUAAAAUAUGGCCAAGCAAAAUGGGCGUGAGUAAUCCCAGAGUGCAUGGAAAUGCACUUCCAGAAAGGCUCAUAAAUAAUGAGGUGGAAACAGUAGUCUAUUUUCUCUUUAAUGGAAAGCCAAUUAGGAACCCUCUCUGGACUGGCGGGAAGAAGCCAGGUUCCUUUGUUCUGUAAUGAGGAGGUGGGGGUAGAGUGGGUGAGGGGAAGCCACUAAUCUUGCCAGAAAGGGCAGAGAAAAUUCUCUGGUCAUUGGGCCUGCAGAGAGUGACAAAAUAGGAAGUUCAACACAAAGUAGGCUUCCCAUCCUGGGUCGAGCUUCCCAUCCCGGGUCGAGCUUCCCAUCCCAGGUCGAGCUUCCCAUCCCAGCUGGUACCAUCUCCAGGGUGGGCCAGCUUUGAGCUGCAGGAAGGAAGACGGGAGUGCAGGAUUCUAGAGGCGUUCUCUGCAGCAGGCGGCCCAGCAGACCCCUAGUGAAUCUCCUUCUUAUCGCUUCCCGAUUGCUCUCCCUACAUACUGGUGUCGCCUCAUUCCAGACACUGGUUUUCUUCAAGCUGGUAAUGCCUUUCAUGGUGCUUCCAUGCAGAACAUUAUAGAUGAUCUUGUCCCACUGAGGCAUGGCAGGUAUAGUGUCCUCCAUCUUUCAUAAGAGGGAACUGAGAAACAGAGGGGAAAUGAGACGGUCGAAAGUCACACAGCCAUGGAACAGCAGUGCUGGAAAUCAGUUCUGUUCACUCUGCAUGAUCUCUGGGCGGCCGGGGCCCAGCUGGUGACUGUAAGUGGGGGUCAUGGUGGCCUCCCCUCCGAAGCAUUAGAGACAUCUAUAGUGGUUAAGAGCACAGGCUUUGGAGUCAGGGAGACCUGAGUGAAAUUCUUGACUCUAUCCCUUAAUAAUUGUGUGGUCUUGAUCAAGUUUCUUAAUUGUUCUAAGCCUGUUUCUGCAUUUGUAAAACAGGGCUACUGAACUUGGGCUAAUGGACUUAGUUCCCACCUGACAGGAAGCAAUAAACAGCAGUGAUACUGCUAGUACUUAUUAUUGUUAGAAGGCUUUGUGGCCAGCAGGCCUUUGGAAUAGCCGGUGUGUUUCCUGUGGAACCCACUCAGGAGCAUCACUACUGAGUUCAGACUCUGUCCAUGUGAACAGUGUUCCCUGGAGACCUGGCUCAGUAUCAUAUGAGGACCCAGGGAGGCAGCCAGACAUGGCUAGCUGCCUCCAGCUCUAGGUUCAUGCUGAGCAGGGUGGAGAAGAAGGGAGGCCUGGAGCUGAGGAUGUCUGCUGAGAACUUCUCGGAGGAUCUGAGGAUCUUCUGUGCUUACCAAUACAGAGUCACAGGGGAGGCAGCAGGUCCCUCAAAGCCAAGGCUCUUCCUACGUAUGCUUCUAAAACAAAAUCAGUGGCAGUCUGAUGGAGAGAGGAGUCCACGGAGUGUAGCAGCUUUGCUGUGUAGAAGCUUGGGCCAGAGCUUUUGGUAAAGGGCCACAGCUGGAGAAUCUGUUGCUUUUGUUCCUUAUGAUGAGUUUUUGGCAAGUUUUGUUUUUAUUUUUAAAGAAAUUUCACUUUUCCUCCAUUGAAAUGGAUAAAACACUGCUCACCCAUCUGUGUGACUCAAGGAAAUGCUUGAAAAGCAGAGAGGUCUUGAAGAACAACACGAGGUCUCAGGAGACUUGACCAUCGAUGUUUGCCACUGGCCACCUGUGGAAUGUGGGUACAGUCCAUUACCUUUUGAAGGUCACUUGUUCAGCAGGGCAAGGAAGAAAGGGUGAAAUAUU